AUGAACGCUGGCGGCGUGCCUAAUACAUGCAAGUCGAGCGAACGGACGAGAAGCUUGCUUCUCUGAUGUUAGCGGCGGACGGGUGAGUAACACGUGGAUAACCUACCUAUAAGACUGGGAUAACUUCGGGAAACCGGAGCUAAUACCGGAUGAUAUUUUGAACCGCAUGGUUCAAAAGUGAAAGACGGUCUUGCUGUCACUUAUAGAUGGAUCCGCGCUGCAUUAGCUAGUUGGUAAGGUAACGGCUUACCAAGGCAACGAUGCAUAGCCGACCUGAGAGGGUGAUCGGCCACACUGGAACUGAGACACGGUCCAGACUCCUACGGGAGGCAGCAGUAGGGAAUCUUCCGCAAUGGGCGAAAGCCUGACGGAGCAACGCCGCGUGAGUGAUGAAGGUCUUCGGAUCGUAAAACUCUGCUAUUAGGGAAGAACAUAUGUGUAAGUAACUGUGCACAUCUUGACGGUACCUAAUCAGAAAGCCACGGCUAACUACGUG
rnacentral:rRNA from 1 species